AGAGUUUGAUCCUGGCUCAGAUUGAACGCUGGCGGCAUGCUUUACACAUGCAAGGUCGAACGGUAGCGACGGGGGCAACCCUGGUGCGAGUGGCGAACGGGUGAGGUAAUGACAUCGGAACGUAUCCUUGAGUGGGGGAUAACGGCAGCGAAAAGUUGUGCUAAUACCGCAUAAGCUCUGAGGAGGAAAGCGGGGGUAACCGAAAGGCCUCGCGCUGAAGGAGCGGCCGAUGUCCGAUUAGCUAGUUGGUGAGGUAAAGGCUUACCAAGGCGACGACCGGUAGCUGGUCUGAGAGGAUCGAUCAGCCACACUGGGACUGAGACACGGCCCAGACUCCUACGGGAGGCGAC
rnacentral:rRNA from 1 species